GACGAACGCUGGCGGCGUGCUUAACACAUGCAAGUCGAACGGAAACGCCCUGCUUUUGUGCGGUUCUCGAUUGGCGAACGCGGGAGUAACACGUGUGUAACCUGCCCUUGUCUUUGGGAUAACUUCAGGAAACUGGGGUUAAUACCGGAUAGGAUCUCCUGCUGCAUGGUGGGGGUUGGAAAGUUUCGGCGGUCGGGGCUGGACUCGCGGCUUAUCAGCUUGUUGGUGGGGUAGUGGCUUACCAAGCCUGUGACGGGUAGCCGGCCUGGGAGGGUGAACGGGGACCUGGGGACUACGGUACGGAGCAGUGUGCAACGGGAGGCAGCAGUCGGAAAUAUGGUCCAGUGAGCGGGAGCGUGAGGCAGAAGCGCUGGGUGCGGGAUGCCGGCCUUCGGGGUGUGAACAGCUGUAGCUUGAGACGACGCGUUAGUGACGGUAAUGGGUGAAGAAGCACCGGCUAACUACGUG
rnacentral:rRNA from 1 species